AAAAUCUGAACGUCAAGAACGUCAAAAUCUGAACGUUUACAUGUCCAGGCCCAGGGGCCCAUGGUUUCAUAAUCCGUCCAUGUGUCCCAGUUCAGAGGGUGCAUGGCUUCCAGCGUGGUGUGGUAGCAGAGAUGGGCAAGAAAUAACACCCUAGAACAUGGGUGUGUGCAGGGGUUGUCUAUUUUCAUGACAGUCUCUAAGAAUGCCGUGAGAUUGGCGAGGAAUAUUUGUUUCUCUCCUUUAUGCUUAGGUCAGGGAAACUGGUGGAGGGCGACACUAAAAACUCCUGUCUGGCAAGGUGUGCCGAGUCAUUUUCAGUGAUGCCUGACCAUGCAGUUGUGAAGUGCCUUUUUGUUCUCUGCAAUCUGAUCUGAGAACAGUGGUUAGUUGUUGUUUUCCAGUAAGCCAAUUAUUCCCCUUUUGGCAGAGGAGGUGACGGCACAUAUCAGGAUGUAGGACAUUCACAGCAGGAGCUUGAGCAAGAUCUAAACACCGGAAAAGGCCAGCGGAACGGAUGAUAUCCAAGCAACCUUGCAAAACCAAGCAGGGACUCAUUGGUAUUGGAAUGGUGAUCUUGGGCCAGAGAGCAGUGAAGGACAUUGCUCAGAGACCUACCUGCCAUGCUCAUAUCAUCGCCUCAUGAGUGGAUGUUGACGCCAGGCUGGUCCACAUCACAAACAAAGAUGGAAAAAACAAAGAUGGGCCUCACCAUGGCCUUUACAUGCUCAUGACACAAAACACACACACAUGAACACCAACCCAGCCACCUACUGUGAGGAGGAUUCAGCGUCAGGAGGAUUCAGCGUCAGGAGGAUUCAGCGUCAGGGUGAUUCAGCGUCAGGGUGAUUCAGUGUCAGGGUGAUUCAGCGUCAGGGUGAUUCAGCAUGAGGAGGAUUCAGCGUUGGGGUGAUUCAGCGUCAGGGUGAUUCAGCAUGAGGAGGAUUACAUCUUUACAGCGUGAACUGUGAGGAUGUGUUGUGAGGGCGAUUCGGUGUGAACUGAUCACAUCCACUACUUCUAUCCUCUUUCUGUACUUUCUUUUUUCUUUUUUUUUAUCAGUUCAUGACUUCACAGUUUGUUUUACAAUACAAUGUUCACCACACUCUUAUUAGACAGUCCAUCUCAACACACAUUUUUCUCUGGAAUACCAAAGACCAUGUCAUUCAUACCUUUUGUGUUUCUUGUCUGAUUUCAGUGUGGCCUAAGCAAGACAUUUUCCGCCACAUCUCCCACCAAGUCCAUACAAUACCUCCAUGCUCCAUACCUGCUGCCAUCUCCAGACAUUAUGUGCCACAAAAAAGGAUCACAGAUGUGACAAGCAGUGUCUUUUUGUGGAGUCUCCCAGGAUUCGGCAUGGCGAGGCCCAGACUUGGCAGCACAAUCCUGAACUCACUGAGGAGCUUUUGAAGGCUUUUUUCCUGCAAUGUAUAUGGAAAGGAUGGAGACAUACCAAGGACCUGGAUGACAAGUAAUAGAACAUAACGACAUCUGUUUUCAUGAGGAAAUAAGAGACACAAAGCAAGAUGGAGUCACUCUUCACACAAGUGGAGCGAGAGCCAUGAAGACUUACUCAAGAAAAGUUCACCGUGUACAGACCCAUUCUUUAAAGAGGACACACGCGAGGUCUGACACAUACACUUGUCACCUCCUUGAACAGACUUUUGUGAAAGGCAAAGAAGGUUUAGAGCCAGAAACAUUUGUUACUUCCAGUCGAUUUGUCACUUCCAGUCAAACUGAUAAUUACAGACAGUCAUGCUAAUUAAAACUUGCCUGGGCAGUUGCAUAAAAAACAGAUUACAGACAAACGGCUGGUGUCACUGCAGUAUUCACACUCUUCUCUCUCUCCCGUGCACUCCUUUCUUUUCCUUCCUCUCCUCCUCCUGCUGCUGCUGCUGCUGCUGCAAGGCUGGCCUGUUCAAAAGGACUUGACAUUAUCACUGUUUGCACAAGCAAUAUGAAUACAAAUAAAGAAAGCAAAAGUGA